GACGAACGCUGGCGGCGUGCUUAACACAUGCAAGUCGAACGGAAAGGCCCCCUUGGGGGGUUCUCGAGUGGCGAACGGGUGAGUAACACGUGAGUAACCUACCCUUGACCUUGUGAUAACUUCAGGAAACUGGGGCUAAUACCCGAUAAGAGCUCCCGCUGCACGGGGGGGGGUGGAAAGUCUCGGCGGUUGGGGAUGGACUCGCGGCUGAUCAGCGUGUUGGUGGGGUAGUGGCUCACCACGGCUUUGGCGGGUAGCCGGCCUGUGAUGGUGACCGGCCACAUUGGGACUGAGAUACGGCCCAGACUCCUACGGGAGGCAGCAGUGGGGAAUAUUGCACAAUGGGCGGAAGCCUGAUGCAGCAACGCCGCGUGCGGGAUGACGGCCUUCGGGUUGUAAACCGCUUUCGCCUGUGACGAAGCGUGAGUGACGGUAAUGGGUAAAGAAGCACCGGCUAACUACGUG
rnacentral:rRNA from 1 species